rnacentral:lncRNA from 1 species
UAUGCCUUUUCUUUUUCUUUCUUUCUUUUUUUUUUUUAAAGUAGAGCUGAGAUCUCCCUAUGUUGCCCAAGCUGUUCUUGAACUCCUGAGAUGAAACAAUUCUCCUGCCUUGACUUCCCAAAGUGCUGGGAUUCCAGAGACACAGAGAGGAGAAAUGAAGCGAGAAGAGGAAAAGGCUAUGUGAAAGCAGAAGCGGAGGUUGGAGUUAUCCUACCACAAGCCAUGGAAUGCCUAGAGCUACCAGAAACAGAAGAAGAAAGUUCUUCCCUCAUCUUCAGAAGGAACACAGCAUUGCAGAAAGCUUGAUUUUAAACUUCUAGGCUCUAGAAUAGUAAGAGAAUAAAUUUCUGUUUUGUGAAGUCACCUAGUUUGUGGUAAUUUGUUAUAGAAGCCCUGGGAAAUGAGUACAGGAAGUAUGAUUUGGUUUGAAUUUCAGCUCAAUUUAUGUUGUUGAUUUCCAUUGUUUUCCAUUAUGUUGAAUGUGUUUGGCCUGUUUUCUUUGUUGUUGUCAUUUGGUAUUUGUUAAUAUGUCCAUUAGGGCAAAAAAUGAUGAUAAGCAUUUUGUAUAUAUAAUAUAUGGUUUCUCUUAUGUAGAUAUAACAUAUGCUUUCCCUUUUUUGGAGGCAUAAUUCUAUAUUGCUGUUGUUUUGUUGUUCAACUCUCCUAGAUCCUUAUUUUAGGGUUAGUUCCAUUGGUUUAGUUGGUUUUUGAGAGAAGUGUAUGAAAUCUUCCACUAUGAGUGUGGAUUUGCCAAUUUCUUCUUGUUUUAUUAUCAAUUUUUUUCUUAUUAGUUAUAAAGGAGAAGAAAUGAAGUAUUGAAAUAAAAAGUAUUACAGCAGAAAUCAAUGAAGUAACAAAUAAAAUUAAUACAGAAAAAUCAAUGAAACCAAAAGUUUAUUCUUGAAAAAACUAUAAAAUCAACUAGCCUCUAGCUAGACUAAGAAAAAAAGAGGGAGGAUACAAAUUAUUAAUAUCAGAAAUGAAGGAGGGAACAUUAUUACAGGUCUAAUAAAUGUUAUAAAU